AAAAAGGUAAGCUAAGGAUAAGCUACUGGGUUCAUACCCCAUUUAUAAAGACUUCUUUCCUUUUUA
rnacentral:tRNA from 1 species